rnacentral:rRNA from 1 species
UACGUAGGGGGCAAGCGUUGUCCGGAUUUAUUGGGCGUAAAGAGCGUGUAGGCGGCCAGGCAGGUCUGCUGUGAAAACUCGAGGCUUAACCUCGAGCUGUCGGCGGAAACCAUCUGGCUAGAGUCCGGAAGAGGAGAAUGGAAUUCCCGGUGUAGCGGUGAAAUGCGCAGAUAUCGGGAAGAACACCCGUGGCGAAGGCGGUUCUCUGGGA